UGGGGAAUUUUGCACAAUGGGGGAAACCCUGACGCAGCGACGCCGCGUGAUUUAGAAGGCCUUCGGGUUGUAAAAAUCUUUUUUACGGGAUGAAAAUGACAGUACCGUAAGAAUAAGGUCCGGCUAAAUACGUGCCAGCAGCCGCGGUAAUACGUAUGGACCGAGCGUUGUCCGGAAUCAUUGGGCGUAAAGGGUACGUAGGCGGCCUAGUAAGUUAGAAGUGAAAUAAUAUAGCUCAACUAUAUAAAGCUUUUAAAACUGCUAGGCUUGAGAGAUGGAAGGGAAAGUGGAAUUCCUAGUGUAGCGGUGAAAUGCGCAGAUAUUAGGAAGAAUACCGGUGGCGAAGGCGACUUUCUGGUCAUCAUCUGACGCUGAGGUACGAAAGCGUGGGUAGCAAACAGG
rnacentral:rRNA from 1 species